CAGCAGCCAGAGAGAAAGGAGCUCCUGGAACAAUGAUACGAGGAGAAGCCUGACCGCAGCCAUGAAGAGAAUGGGGAGAGAGAGAACUACAGAGAAAAAGAUUGUAAUCUCCUUGGAGCAAGGGUCAUCAUUUUGUUCUGUGUUUGUAUAACAUCCAGCCCAACAAGGUCCUGCUCCAUGACAGAGGCUCCUCUGCACUACGGUAAUGGAAAGGAAAGAUACAAGUAGGGAUAUGGUAACCAGACUGAAAAUGGGCUGAAUCAUGGGACUUCCUGUUGAGGUGGCGAGCAUUUUGCUGGUUGUUUGAAAGGGGUACCUGUCAAGAGCCUGAAUGAUGGCUUAAAGGAACAACUUACUUGACCUAUGACAGUAAAGUUGUCUAACUUCUAUUUCAACAAAAUUGUUCUGACACUCAUGCCCAAUAUUUGACUGACCUUAGGAUCUACACACUUAAGGGCACAACUGCAUACUAAUAUUGUACAACUUGAGUGUUAGGCAGCAAGUUAAGUUAAACAUGAAAACAGCGUUAGCCCCAUAAUAAACAGCAUGGAAAAAAGUAAAAUUAAGUAAGCAAAAACAAAUUAAGUAAAAUCAUAUUAACUUUUUUUUAUUGAGCCUUC